CUGGGAUGGUUUUUGACUAUAUUACCGAACAGAUCAGCUGCUAUAGAAGACAAACUGAAAUCUGACUGCAGAGACAAGCAAAGGAAUACUGCAAGGCUCUGGUGCAAAAUAUUGUAUGCCAGGAGUCAGGACGACUAGGCUGUGCCCAGGUCUCCGGAACCUGCGACGAUGCUCAGCUCCAUCAGCCCUCC